rnacentral:rRNA from 1 species
AGUGAACGCUGGCGGCGUGCCUAAUACAUGCAAGUCGAACGAAGUGGCGCACGGGUGAGUAAUAUAUAUCUAAUCUGCCCCUUGCUGGAGGACAACAGUUAGAAAUGACUGCUAAUACUCCAUAGCAAGGGAUAAGACUAUAUCGUAUCAGCUAGUCGGUGGGGUAACGGCCUACCGAGGGUAUGACGCGUAACUGGUCUGAGAGGAUGAUCACUAAAAGUGGAACUGAGACACGGGCAAAACACCUACGGGAGGCAGCAGUAGGGAAUAUUGCGCAAGGGGGGAAACCCUGACGGAGCAACGCCGCGUGUAGGAUGACACGUUUCGGAGCGUAAACUCCGUUUGUUAGGGAAGCGGUACCUAACGAAUAAGCACCGGCUAACUCCGUGCCAGCCGCCGCGGUAAUUC